rnacentral:rRNA from 1 species
GGCCCGCACAAGCGGUGGAGUAUGUGGUUUAAUUCGACGCAACGCGCAGAACCUUACCCAGGCUUGACAUCCUCGGAACCUGAUGGAAACAUCGGGGUGUCCCCUCACGGGGAAGCCGAGUGACAGGUGCUGCAUGGCUGUCGUCAGCUCGUGUCGUGAGAUGUUCGGUUAAGUCCGGCAACGAGCGCAACCCCUGUCGUUAGUUGCCAUCAAUUCGGUUGGGCACUCUAGCGAGACUCCCGGUGUUAAGCCGGCGGAAGAUGGGGAUGACGUCAAGUCCUCAUGGCCCUUAUGUCUGGGGCUACACACGUACUACAAUGGCAUUUACAGAGGGCAGCAAUACGGCAACGUGGAGCCAAUCCCAAAAAGAAUGCCUCAGUUCGGAUUGGAGUCUGCAACUCGACUCCAUGAAGUUGGAAUC